AAAAGGAGUUGGGUGAGAAAAGAACUGUGCCAGGGAACUAAUACCCCUUCCUGCUCUGUGGUGGUGGUGCAGCCAGAAGGCAGUUCUCCCUGAAAGUCAGCGCCAGCAGCCGCCCCUUGCACUCAAAGCCCCUCUCCCCUCCAGGCACUGAAUCACGGACAGUAGCUGCAGCACAAGAGAGGCUGGUGCCAUAUGCUGGGGUAAGGAGCUGCCAGGCCCAGCCUUCCCUGUGCUACCCCAUUGGGAUCUCCAGGGAGCCUGGUGGAGCUGUUGGAUGCACACCUCUGAGACAAAUUCAGACCGCAUGACAGAGAAGGAUCUCCAAGGCUGGCCUCCUCCAGCGUUCUUUUCCUCCAGGAAACCCUGCUGCAGGGUUUCGACAGAAAACCCGUUCACAAAUGGAUGCAGUGGCUGCAAAAUCAAAGUCUGCCAAGAAGAAAUCCAAUUUGGACAAUUUGGAAAAAUUAAUACUGUCCAGAUAGCUAAGAAAAAAAAAAAAAAGAGCUAUGUCAGCAAGAAGACUCAGAAAAUCCUAGAAGAUUCGUGAUCUCAACUCAGUCCAGAGGAAGAACCAAAGAGAUGAGCAGCUGUUUGACAGCUAUGCACCAUAUAGUUUUCAAAGUGAGAGAAGAGAACCUGAAUGUUUGGCCAACUCAGAACACGAUCAGCAGUGGGGAUUAGAGAUCUUGGAAAACUGCCAGGAGAAGAAAUUCCAAGAAGCAAUGGAUCCCAGCCUGGAAGUCAACUGCUUGGCUUCUCACAGAGGAAGUAAGUACAAGAGCUGCUCCUUGUGGCCACACAGCAAGACUCUGAAAUGCAGUAAAACACAGGGCAAACUGCAGUUUAGAGAAAAUUACCAAAGAUGCUUCAGUUGGUUGGCCUGGAAGGCAGCUGUCCUAUGAGCUGGGAUGAAGAACAACUGGCUAAUGUUACCAGUGUGGGCAGUGCUGUGCCAGGUCCCCUCUCACAGUGGCUGAAACAGUUCACAGGUCCAAAUGGGUUGCUGAAGGAAGCUGGGGGAGGAGGCACUACAAGCGAAGAGUCCAAUCUGGCAUUGACUAAGUUUCUUGCUUCUCUACAAAACUUUCCGUCUUUUCCACUUUCAAGUCAGGCUGAGGAAACAGGCAGCAACACGGGACUCAUGCCCAUGUCCUCCUCUCUCCUCUUCUGACUUGAUUCAGGACACAUGCAGGCAGGCUGAGCUGCAGCUCUUCUGGCUCAAGUGACAGGUCUCUGUGUAACACGCUUUCUGAAUCACUUGUCUAUGUAAUAAAUAAUGUCUUUCCGUUUCUGAUGUCUUGAAG
rnacentral:lncRNA from 1 species